CUAAGUUUGAUGGCGACCGGCGCACGGGUGAGUAACACGUAUCCAACCUGCCGAUGACUCGGGGAUAGCCUUUCGAAAGAAAGAUUAAUACCCGAUGGCAUAGUUCUUCCGCAUGGUAGAACUAUUAAAGAAUUUCGGUCAUCGAUGGGGAUGCGUUCCAUUAGGUUGUUGGCGGGGUAACGGCCCACCAAGCCUUCGAUGGAUAGGGGUUCUGAGAGGAAGGUCCCCCACAUUGGAACUGAGACACGGUCCAAACUCCUACGGGAGGCAGCAUGC
rnacentral:rRNA from 1 species